CGUCCCUCCCUGUUGAGGCGCACGCUCCGCGCUGUGCACAGGCUGUUCCGCUGGCCCCGCAGGCCGGCACAGCCCCACCAUUAGGCCCCGCUCCAGCGCCAGGCCCGGCCCAGACAGCGCAGGGCGGGCAGCACUUUGCCGGGACCAACAUCUCCCGCAGACCAGCACGGCACGGAACAGCACAGGCGCCACAACCAGGCCAAGGAGUGACCACAGAACGGAGGGGGACCGAGACCCCCAGAGACCCCCAGACCACAGACUCCUUUCCAGAAAGGUCUGAAAGAACAGACUGUGCGUGACAACUCAUUGGCACAGAAGACAGAAAGCCACCUUCUGUGGGGAACCCUGUCCCUGCAAAGGUACCCCCAGCAAGCCCAGCAGCCUGGACAUCCCUCCAGCUGCAUCCACGCUGGACACCGGACUGACCCCUUGCACAGGAUGGAGGCGUCACCCAUUCUCAGAGGAAGCUUUGCCCCAGGUUCCUGCAGACCAAGGGCACCACUCAGUCACCCCUGGCCCUUCAGUGCAGUUGCAGAACUCACGGGGAAGGCCAGAGCUGCCACCAAGGAGGGAAGCAGAGCCCCGUGGCUGUGGGAAGGACUGACUCUUUGCAGGCUGACAACAUGGAAGGACCCUCCCCAGCUGGGCAAGCUUUGUGCAGCCGUGGUUUCUGUUGCACUCGGGGCAGCUCUUUCCCCUCCUGUCCAUAGGAA